CUGCGGGAUUUGGUUGGAAUACAUGACGUAGGUGAGCAGCAAAUGUGUUAGCUCUGUCUUUGUCGCUACGGGCCCAGCAGCCUGAGGAGUUUCUUAUAGGCGUUACUGUUUCGAUCGGCGCACUUAGCGUAGGGUGAGCCCUCCACAAAGGAUGCUUGGUACUGGUUGGUGAUAAUUGCUCUAUGUAGCGGCGUUGGGCAUCUGCUUCUUCAUGCUUAAGAGCUUUGCUGAGUCUGCAUGGCGACCGGUGAGACUGCCACUCACGUCGCAAUCGUCGCUUUUCCAGAACAAGUUGUUCUAUUUGAAGAUUAGUUUUACGUUUAUUCGUCUGCACAUGCGCGCGUUGUGGAGUAGAGAUCUUAGCUGCUGCAACAAGUACUGAUUCUAAUAAGUCCGCAGAGCAGUCGAUGUCCGCUUCGAUGUUGAACUGCGGAGCAAGAUCGAGGUGAGAGCUAACGUAUUUCUUGUACUUGAGCCAGUUGGUUCUGUGUGUUGUGAGUCUAUUAGAAUAUUCCACAUAUUCCGGGGAUUGGAGUAGAUUUAAUAACACGGGGGAGUGGUCGGAUGAAAGAUCCGAAAGUGCUACGGCGCUUAUCAGAUUGCGUGGGAUGUUUUUUGUCACAG